UACGUAGGGUGCGAGCGUUAAUCGGAAUUACUGGGCGUAAAGCGUGCGCAGGCGGUUUUGUAAGCCGGAUGUGAAAUCCCCGGGCUUAACCUGGGAGUGGCAUUCGGGACUGCAAGGCUGGAGUGCGGCAGAGGAGACUGGAAUUCCUGGUGUAGCAGUGAAAUGCGUAGAUAUCAGGAGGAACACCGAUGGCGAAGGCAGGUCUCUGGGCUGACACUGACGCUCAUGCACGAAAGCGUGGGGAGCAAACAGG
rnacentral:rRNA from 1 species